ACUGAUGGAUGGACCCGCGGUGCAUUAGCUAGUUGGUGAGGUAACGGCUCACCAAGGCAACGAUGCAUAGCCGACCUGAGAGGGUGAUCGGCCACACUGGGACUGAGACACGGCCCAGACUCCUACGGGAGGCAGCAGUAGGGAAUCUUCGGCAAUGGACGAAAGUCUGACCGAGCAACGCCGCGUGAGUGAAGAAGGUUUUCGGAUCGUAAAACUCUGUUGUUAGAGAAGAACAAGGAUGAGAGUAAAAUGUUCAUCCCUUGACGGUAUCUAACCAGAAAGCCACGGCUAACUACGUGCCAGCAGCCGCGGUAAUACGUAGGUGGCAAGCGUUGUCCGGAUUUAUUGGGCGUAAAGCGAGCGCAGGCGGUUUCUUAAGUCUGAUGUGAAAGCCCCCGGCUCAACCGGGGAGGGUCAUUGGAAACUGGGAGACUUGAGUGCAGAAGAGGAGAGUGGAAUUCCAUGUGUAGCGGUGAAAUGCGUAGAUAUAUGGAGGAACACCAGUGGCGAAGGCGGCUCUCUGGUCUGUAACUGACGCUGAGGCUCGAAAGCGUGGGGAGCGAACAGGAUUAGAUACCCUGGUAGUCCACGCCGUAAACGAUGAGUGCUAAGUGUUGGAGGGUUUCCGCCCUUCAGUGCUGCAGCAAACGCAUUAAGCACUCCGCCUGGGGAGUACGACCGCAAGGUUGAAACUCAAAGGAAUUGACGGGGGCCCGCACAAGCGGUGGAGCAUGUGGUUUAAUUCGAAGCAACGCGAAGAACCUUACCAGGUCUUGACAUCCUUUGACCACUCUAGAGAUAGAGCUUCCCCUUCGGGGGCAAAGUGACAGGUGGUGCAUGGUUGUCGUCAACUCGUGUCGUGAGAUGUUGGGUUAAUUCCCGCAACGAGCGCAACCCUUAUUGUUAUUUGCCAUCAUUUAGUUUGGGACUCCUAGCGAGACUGCCGGUGA
rnacentral:rRNA from 1 species